GGGUUAACAAACCAAAUCUUCCACUUGCAUCGCGAUUUUCAGGCUUUGUGGAAACAACAGCUUGUCUGAUACAUGACUGCCAUCCCAAAAAAGCUAUAAACUUCUUAAUGUGCUUUAGGAAGGGAUGAAUGGGAGUUUUGAUGGCCCACUCUGCAAGCAACCCAUACCAUUGAUUUGAUGGGUUUCAUCAUGGAUACACCAUGAAGUAAGAAUCUUAGUUGGGUACAGUCCCAACCUCGGUUCCAUCAUGGAUACACCAUGAAGUAAGGCAUCUGUUGACUGUUACCCAGCUCAUUGCUGUAGGUGGCUCAACAUCUUGAUUGUGUUGCAGGAUUUGAUGUUCCCCUUACUCAUUUGAGCUA